CAAGAAAAAAUGAUGACCAAAUUUCAAUCCUACCCUGAUUGAUUCAUCAGGUGUAAAUGUUUUGAAAUGACAAGUCCACUGUUACAGUUUACUCUGUUUAUGUUAAAAACUUUUUCUCUCCCACAAAAUUUGCGAUUUUAACAAGAUGCAGAAAUAUGAUAUAUGGUCAUGACAAUACGUUCUUGUUUGCAUGCAGCAGAAAACUGCAUGUGAUAGCUCAAGUCAUACGAUUGCAAAUAUAUAAUAAUUUGUAUCUUUUAUUUUGUCACUGAUCAAAAUGCUCUAUAUAUACAGGACCACUGUAUUGAUGUAUAUGGAAACUGUACAUUGAAACUUCCCUUCUACUAUCCAGUACCUAUGUGUAUGCAAACAGUCUAUUGUCGUCUUUUGAAAAGGCCAGAGAGUGAGUAGAACGCCUUUUAGUAUACCUUAAGUAGAACUGUACAACAUCAUUGAUUUCUGUCACGAUGUACAUACAUUAUUCUCCAUUCGCACACUUUUGAUAAAAACUCUGCAAAAUACAUCCGACGGAAACUAUAUGUAUAAGUGUCAACCUCUACAUUAAAUGGCAAUUAUCAUAUAGCCAACGUUGACCAAUCAGCAGGACUAAUUUCAUAUGGCUAAGACUCCGUAACAUCUUAUAAGUGAUACAAGGUGUGGAAAAUGAAUCUCAGCCGGGUGUCUAAUGACAUUGACCAAUCAGAAUGAUGAGUAUCUUUUUGAAGGAACAAAUGUAAUUGAUAAAAAAUUGUACAGCUUUAUUUACAUGUACAGUGUCACAUGAAUUUGUAUUUCUUAUAUUUAUCAAUUUCUAUAGGCUAUAUGAUAAUAACGUGAAUCACCCGCCCGUUUCUCGAUGUAUGUGGUGCCAUAAGUCUUCUAUUCAGCGGUCAUACCUCGGGCAGGU